rnacentral:rRNA from 1 species
GACGAACGCUGGCGGCGUGCUUAACACAUGCAAGUCGAACGGUAAGGCCCUGCUUUUGUGGGUUGCUCUAGUGGCGAACUUGUGAGUAACACGUGAGUAACCUGCCCUUGAUUUUGGGAUAACUUCAUGAAACUGGGUCGAAUACCGGAUAGGAGCUUCUUCUGAAUUGUGACGUUUAUAAAGCUUCGGCGGUUUGGGAUGGAUUCGCGGCUUAUCAACGUGUUGGUGUGGUAGUGGCUUACCAGGGCGUUGACGGGUAGCCGGCCUGAGGGGGUGACCGGACACAUUAGGACUGAGAUACGGCCCGGACCAAUACGGGAGGGAGGAGUGGGGAAUAUUGCACAACGGACGGAAGCCUGAUGCAGCAAGGCCGCGUGGGGGAUGACGGGAUUCGGGUUGUAACCCGAUUUCGCCUGUGACGAAGAGUGAGUGACGGUACUGGAUAAGAAAGCCCCGGCUAAAUACGUG